UGCAGAGUAGGCUCAUCCGCGUAGGGGCAAAAAGCCCCGCAGUGCCUUGUGAACAGGGAGUUGACACAGGGACGAAAGGGAACGCAGAACGUGCGUUUUUCCGCGGUGGGUGAGCCGCAUCCCGCUGAA
rfam:Ruminococcus sp. CAG:382 genomic scaffold, scf235